ensembl:snRNA
GUGUUGUAUGAAAGGAGAGAAGGUUAGCACUCCCCUUGACCAAAAGAUAAUUACAAAUGAGAUCAUCAUAUACAAUACUAAACAGAGUGUCCAAUUCAUAAUAAAUAUUCAAUAAAUGUUAAAGAGAGAAUAUUCCAUUUUUUU